rnacentral:rRNA from 1 species
AUUGAACGCUGGCGGCAGGCCUAACACAUGCAAGUCGAACGGUAACAGGAAGAAGCUUGCUUCUUUGCUGACGAGUGGCGGACGGGUGAGUAAUGUCUGGGAAACUGCCUGAUGGAGGGGGAUAACUACUGGAAACGGUAGCUAAUACCGCAUAACGUCGCAAGACCAAAAAGGGGGACCUUCUGGCCUCUUGCCAUCGGAUGUGCCCAGAUGGGAUUAGCUAGUAGGUGGGGUAACGGCUCACCUAGGCGACGAUCCCUAGCUGGUCUGAGAGGAUGACCAGCCACACUGGAACUGAGACACGGUCCAGACUCCUACGGGAGGCAGCAGUGGGGAAUAUUGCACAAUGGGCGCAAGCCUGAUGCAGCCAUGCCGCGUAUAUGAAGAAGGCCUUCGGGUUGUAAAGUACUUUCAGCGGGGAGGAAGGGAGUAAAGUUAAUACCUUUGCUCAUUGACGUUACCCGCAGAAGAAGCACCGGCUAACUCCGUG